GGAGACCAAUACUCUGGCCCAGGCCUGGUCAAGGGAUGCUGGUUGUUGCUGAUGCAAAGUCACAUUGCCUGGUCCUGAGCUUGGCAAUCAGGCAUCCAGAGAUGGCCAAACCAAAUAUCCCUUUGGCCAGGCACUCAGGCAUUCCCUGUAAUGUUGUGCACUUAAAGCAUCUUGGGCUGAUAGUCUCCACCGAAUCACAGAAGAAAACUCAAUCUGCCGCAUCACUCACCAGCUGGAUAAGCCAUUUACUGUACACAGUGUGUGCCCUCUUAUCAAUACAUUGGCACAGAACCAUACACCGUAGAAGCUGCUGUGAUCACUAAAGGCAAUGCCCGUUUAGCCCUGAGCACAGUGCUUGGCAUGUGGUAGGCAGGUUUGUGUCAGCUCUAACUGAUGGAGUAUGGUGGAGGUGAUGCCAUGCAACUUCCAAGGCAAAGGUAUAAACAAGAUGCAGCUUCUACAUGGCUCUUGCGAUCCUGGGAUGCUCAUCCUGGGAAUCCAGACACCAUGUUGUGAGGAGGCCCAGGCCACAAGGAGAGGCCACCUA
rnacentral:lncRNA from 1 species